AUACGUAGGGUGCAAGCGUUAAUCGGAAUUACUGGGCGUAAAGCGUGCGCAGGCGGUUUUGUAAGUCAGAGGUGAAAGCCCCCGGCUCAACCGGGGAAUAGCCAUUGAGACUGCCAGGCUUGAGUGCGGAAGAGGGGGGUGGAAUUCCGCGUGUAGCGGUGGAAUGCGUAGAUAUGCGGAGGAACACCGAUGGCGAAGGCAAUCCCCUGGGCCUGCACUGACGCUCAUGCACGAAAGCGUGGGGAGCAAACAGGAUUAGAUCCCCUGGUAGUCCACGCCCUAAACGAUGUCAACUGGUUGUUGGGGAUUUAUUUUCUCAGUAACGAAGCUAACGCGUGAAGUUGACCGCCUGGGGAGUACGGCCGCAAGGUUAAAACUCAAAUGAAUUGGCGGGG
rnacentral:rRNA from 1 species